rnacentral:rRNA from 1 species
AAAGCGUGCGCAGGCGGCUUUGCAAGACAGAUGUGAAAUCCCCGGGCUCAACCUGGGAACUGCAUUUGUGACUGCAAGGCUAGAGUACGGCAGAGGGGGAUGGAAUUCCGCGUGUAGCAGUGAAAUGCGUAGAUAUGCGGAGGAACACCAAUGGCGAAGGCAAUCCCCUGGGCCUGUACUGACGCUCAUGCACGAAAGCGUGGGGAGCAAACAGGAUUAGAUACCCUGGU